rnacentral:rRNA from 1 species
GAUGAACGCUGGCGGCGUGCUUAACACAUGCAAGUCGAACGAAGCACUUUAUUUGAUUUCCUUCGGGACUGAUUAUUUUGUGACUGAGUGGCGGACGGGUGAGUAACGCGUGGGUAACCUGCCUUGUACAGGGGGAUAACAGUUGGAAACGGCUGCUAAUACCGCAUAAGCGCACAGCAUCGCAUGAUGCAGUGUGAAAAACUCCGGUGGUAUAAGAUGGACCCGCGUUGGAUUAGCUAGUUGGUGAGGUAACGGCCCACCAAGGCGACGAUCCAUAGCCGACCUGAGAGUGUGACCGGCCACAUUGGGACUGAGACACGGCCCAAACUCCUACGGGAGGCAGCAGUGGGGAAUAUUGCACAAUGGGCGAAAGCCUGAUGCAGCGACGCCGCGUGAGCGAAGAAGUAUUUCGGUAUGUAAAGCUCUAUCAGCAGGGAAGAUAAUGACGGUACCUGACUAAGAAGCACCGGCCAAAUACGUG